AUUGAACGCUGGCGGCAUGCUUUACACACGCAAGUCGAGCGGCAGCGCGGGAGCAAUCCUGGCGGCGAGCGGCGAACGGGUGAGGAAUACAUCGGAACGUGUCCCGUAGUGGGGGAUAGCUCGGCGAAAGCCGGAUUAAUACCGCAUAUGCUCUACGGAGGAAAGCCGGGGAUCUGUUAAAGGACCUGGCGCUAUGGGAGCGGCCGAUGUCCGAUUAGCAGUUGGUGAGGUAAAGGCUCACCAAGGCGACGAUCGGUAGCUGGUCUGAGAGGAUGAUCAGCCACACUGGGACUGAGACACGGCCCAGACUCCUACGGGAGGCAGCAGUGGGGAAUUUUGGACAA
rnacentral:rRNA from 1 species